GGGCGCAUAGCUCAGCUGGUUAGAGCGCACGGUUCACAUCCGUGAGGUCUGGGGUUCAAGUCCCUAUGCGCCCA
rnacentral:tRNA from 2 species